UACGUAGGGACCGAGCGUUGUCCGGAAUCAUUGGGCGUAAAGGGUGCGUAGGCGGCGCGGUAAGUCGGGUGUGAAAUCUCGGAGCUUAACUCCGAAACUGCAUUCGAUACUGCCGUGCUUGAGGACUGGAGAGGAGACUGGAAUUUACGGUGUAGCGGUGAAAUGCGUAGAUAUCGUAAGGAAGACCAGUGGCGAAGGCGGGUCUCUGGACAGUUCCUGACGCUGAGGCACGAAGGUCAGGGGAGCAAACGGG
rnacentral:rRNA from 1 species